GUGAACAAGAAAAACAUCAUUGUGUAAGCAAACAAAAUUUCUGAUCAUUAACUGAAGUAAGCAUUUUAAUGCAACAAGAUUUAGAUUAAGAGGUUUGAAUUUAGAUUGAAGUUAGUAUAUUGAGGUUGUGGGACUCUACAUUUGUGAUUGAUAUUUUUACUCUUUUAACCCGUUGUGAGUUUACAUAAGGCUGAAGCAGUUCAGUGAUGAAAAUUAAUAGGAGCAUC
rnacentral:lncRNA from 1 species